AGAGUUUGAUCCUGGCUCAGGAUGAACGCUGGCGGCGUGCUUAACACAUGCAAGUCGAACGGGAAACAUUUCAUUGAGGCUUCGGCGGAUUUGAUCUGUUUCUAGUGGCGGACGGGUGAGUAACGCGUGGGUAACCUGCCUUAUACUGGGGGAUAACAGCCAGAAAUGGCUGCUAAUACCGCAUAAGCGCACAGAACCGCAUGGUUCGGUGUGAAAAACUCCGGUGGUAUAAGAUGGACCCGCGUUGGAUUAGCUAGUUGGCAGGGCAGCGGCCUACCAAGGCGACGAUCCAUAGCCGGCCUGAGAGGGUGAACGGCCACAUUGGGACUGAGACACGGCCCAGACUCCUACGGGAGGCAGCAGUGGGGAAUAUUGCACAAUGGGCGAAAGCCUGAUGCAGCGACGCCGCGUGAGCGAAGAAGUAUUUCGGUAUGUAAAGCUCUAUCAGCAGGGAAGAUAAUGACGGUACCUGACUAAGAAGCACCGGCUAAAUACGUGCCAGCAGCCGCGGUAAUACGUAUGGUGCAAGCGUUAUCCGGAUUUACUGGGUGUAAAGGGAGCGCAGGCGGUGCGGCAAGUCUGAUGUGAAAGCCCGGGGCUCAACCCUGGUACUGCAUUGGAAACUGUCGUACUAGAGUGUCGGAGGGGUAAGCGGAAUUCCUAGUGUAGCGGUGAAAUGCGUAGAUAUUCGGAGGAACACCGGUGGCGAAGGCGGCCAACUGGGCUUUAACUGACGCUGAGGCUCGAAAGUGUGGGGAGCAAACAGGAUUAGAUACCCUGGUAGUCCACACUGUAAACGAUGAUAACUAGGUGUGGGGGGUCUGACCCCUUCCGUGCCGCAGCUAACGCAAUAAGUUAUCCGCCUGGGGAGUACGACCGCAAGGUUGAAACUCAAAGGAAUUGAACGGGGACCCGCACAAGCAGUGGAUUAUGUGGUUUAAUUCGAAGCAACGCGAAGAACCUUACCAGCACUUGACAUCCGACUAACGAAGUAGAGAUACAUUAGGUGCCCUUCGGGGAAAGUCGAGACAGGUGGUGCAUGGUUGUCGUCAGCUCGUGUCGUGUGAUGUUGGGUUAAGUCCCGCAACGAGCGCAACCCCUGCCAUUAGUUGCUACGCAAGAGCACUCUAAUGGGACCGCUACCGACAAGGUGGAGGAAGGUGGGGACGACGUCAAAUCAUCAUGCCCUUUAUGACCUGGGCUACACACGUACUACAAUGGCGUUAAACAAAGAGAAGCAAGACCGCGAGGUGGAGCAAAACUCAAAAACAACGUCUCAGUUCAGAUUGCAGGCUGCAACUCGCCUGCAUGAAGUCGGAAUUGCUAGUAAUCGCGGGUCAGCAUGCCGCGGUGAAUACGUUCCCGGGCCUUGCACACACCGCCCGUCA
rnacentral:rRNA from 1 species